rnacentral:tRNA from 1 species
GAGAUUGAAUGGGAAAGGCUGGGUACACUGACUUUUAAUCAGUAGGUCGAUGGUUCGAACCCAUCACGGCUCACCA